UCUUGAAAAAUUGAAUCAUGGGCACCUAUACCUUUCCCCAGGAUUGAGAACCCUAUCAUUUGAAGGAAGUGGGCAUGACCUUUGGAGAGCAUAUCAAGCAUCCAGCAAGGAGCCAAGCUUAUCUUCUCCAGAGCCCAGAGAUGUUGAACUUGGAAUUGACUGGACUGUGGAGACUUUUGAAAGUUUUUGCCACCAGGAGGUGGGCACCUAAACCCUGGACUGAAUUUGAGAGAGUUACUUACUGAACGAGAGAGAGCAUUUCUGUAACAGUACUGAGGUGUCCUUAGGUCUUAAAAGACUGGGAAUCUGUGUUGUGGAAAGAGCAGAGUGUACUUUGGGAGAGAGCCAAGGACUAUCUCAGGGUAAGAACCAAGCCUCUGGAAAAGCUGUAAAGGGAGAAGAGGAAAAUUGUAAUAGCCAAUACUUUUAACUUUAUGUGCUUGAAAGACACUUUCGUUCUUUUAAAUUACUGAAAUUAAAGAAAGAGAUUUCAUUUUUAUCUGAA